rnacentral:rRNA from 1 species
CACCCGGAAACAGAUGCUAAUACCGGAUAACAACAGAUGAUGCCUAUCAACUGUUUUAAAAGAUGGUCCUGCUAUCACUCUUGGAUGGACCUGCGGUGCAUUAGCUAGUUGGUAGGGUAACGGCCUACCAAGGCGAUGAUGCAUAGCCGAGUUGAGAGACUGAUCGGCCACAUUGGGACUGAGACACGGCCCAAACUCCUACGGGAGGCAGCAGGU